UUAGAGACAGAAAAAGGAGAGAGAGAUGGUGUCCAACACAAAUUGCCCCGGUGCUGAGCUCUCGCUCUAUCUUUAUCACUGUAUUCCUCGCUCUUUGAUUUUUAAUUUUUGUCACUCAUAUUUCACAUAAGGGUGCAGUUGGCAUACGGAUGCAUCCGUAGCUGUAGAGGUAAGAUGCACCUUCAAAUUUUAUCAUGGCAUAUAAUUUUGAUGUAAAAUGUUCUUAGGAUUAUCUCAAAAUCUAUUUUUAUAUCUAAUUAUAAGAUUUUAAAUUUAGAAAAUGGUUAAAAUCAAAUAGAUNNNNNNNNNNNNNNNNNNNNGUAGUACUUAAUUAUCUUUUUAUUUUUCAUGGUCAUAACAUCUCGAGAUGAUCAAUGAAAGAGUUUUUCAACAUUAAAACUACUUUUUUUAAUGGAUUUUUGAGGUGCAUCCAUAGUUCUACAUUAUAAGGUUGCAUCCUUAUAUAAACUUUUCCCUUCUUUUAUUAUUCAUUUAGGUUGCAUCCUUAUAUAAACUUUUCCCUUCUUUUAUUAUUCAUUUGUGUUUGUUGUAAUGAAUGGAAAUGGCCCUAAUCUAAGAAUGUAUUGCUUCUCUCUUAAAAUGUUAGUUGUUUACCUUCUCGUGAGAUUAGGGUUUCUUAAACCAUAAGAAAUUAGGGAGAAAAAACGAGGAUGAGAAAGCCAUGAUUAGGGCUGCUAGUGGGCUGGGUAUCGACGAACCUCACCUGGCCUUAAUCCUACAUUAGGGCGGGCAAUGGCGGCCCUGGCCUAACCCUACUCCCAAUACGGCCGGCCAGGCCUGGCCUAAGUCCACUCCUAGCCAUUUUUGGGCCGGGCGGGGCCAGAAAAAACUAAAUAUAAUAAAAGGAAAAGAAAAGAAAAAUGAGGGCCAACUAGGACGGGCAGAACGAAGCUGCCCCUGUCAUAGACCUGGCCUGGCCCUUGGGCUACGUUUUAUGGCCUAGGCCCUAAAAUUUUAGGGCAAAGCCUACUGGCCAGGAGGGCCACCAACCCAUUGCCACCCUAAUCAUCGGUAACUUUUUCUAGUUAGGCCCCGAUCCAAAAGUAAAUCAUUUGCAGCCUAGGCCCAGAUUGAAAUAAAUCAUUGAAUCCCGAGCCUUGCCCAAAGUGUUAUGCGUGUAGAUAUAGUGCUAGGCCCGGGUCAAGCCUGACUUUGUUUGGUCCUUGAAUGCCUGGCCCAUGUAUUUCAAAGUGUGGCCCUAAGCCCUGAUUAGCCUGGUAGCACACAAGUUAGCCCGACCUGUUUUGUAGAUCAGUGUAAAGUAGGGAUGGCAAUGGGCAGGGUGGCCCGACCCGGUGCGGUCGGCUCAGCUCUAAAAAGCUAGGUUUGGGCUACAAAUAUGACUUGAGGGCCUGGCCAAGGCCAGGCCACCAUGGCUUAGGCGGGCCUUUGCUUGGGCAAGGGCCUAGACGGGACUGGCCUGAUUCCACGGGGCCCAACCAUUAUGUUGCUAUGUUUUGUUUUUGUUAUUCUUAAUUAGCCGGCCCAGCCCUAAUAGGCCUUGAGCUAGGGCCACUUUUGCCCUGUCCAGGCUAGCCCUCAGGGGAACAGGGCCAGGCUUGGGGCAAUGCCGGGCUGGUCCAGGCUUGGGCCAACGCUGGGCAGGUCCAAGCUUGGGCCAAUGCUUGACUGGCCCAGGCCCCAUUACCAAACCUAAUAUGAAAUAUGGAGUCAUAUUCUCAAAGGAUUACUUUGUGUAAUAAAGUUCGGAUUUGAGUCGAAGAUUAUCACAUUGUUGUCAAAGUACUGCAUUGUCACAUGUAGUCCAACAUUUCUGAACGCAUUCCAGGUACAUGAUCAAACAAUUUAUGUGAACUAGAUCACAAGGUGGUGUAUUUUGUGUGUGUUGAAUUGUCUAUCAAACGAAUACCGUUAACUUUUCUUUAUAGUUUGCACCAUGAGGUGGCCUAAACGAUAGACCGGCGAAAUUUUGGAUCCAAGCUCCACCCAUAAACUUUUACUUAUAUUAUACAUGAAAAAUGAUUGUUGUACCGUACAAAAGUGUACACUUCCAAAAAGUUUGUAUUCAUCUCUUAGGAUCAUCUCAUAAAAAGGAAAAGUAUACACUUUCAUUGUUUUUAAAGACACGAUCUAGUAAAUAGUUUUUCCAAAUUCUAUUGCGCCCCAUCGCGUAUUUCAUCCAUUUGCGCCGAACUACUGAUUUUUAUUUUAUUGGGUUUUUUUUUUUUUCUGACUCUUAUUUUUUGGAGGAAGUCUUGCACUAUACUCUUGAUUGUUGAGCCGCCCUUGCAACUUGGUUGUAGAUGGUGUCCCUUAUUGUUAUUUAUUCACCUCUGAUUUUUUUGUAUUGGAUUUUUAUUGAAACUCUUAUUUUUUAGGGUUUUAGAGUGAUGCUUGUGGUGUUGUUUCUCAUAUCUGAUUUUUUCUUAAAUUGUGGCUUGGAUACACCAAUUUUUUGUAGGAAGCCCUUGACCAUAUUCUUGAUUGUUGAGCUGCCCCUGUAAGUCGGUUUAUAUACUUGACAGACUCGAGGCUCAUUCAUGAGAGGGACUUUUUGUAGUUUGACAGACUCAAUGCUCAUUCAUGAGAGGGACUUUUUGUAGAAAGAAAAGACUGAACGAGAUUGAGGUGUGUUAGAGAGUGGGCUUUGUUUUAAGUCGGUGAAAAUCUCUCCACUAACUUGUUUAGAUGAUGUAUCGAGGAAAAUCAAAUUAGCCCAAUCAGAAAUGGAGCUUAUAUGUCAAAUGUGGUCGUGAAACUGGGUUUCACUGAUGUCAAAGAUCUUCAACAAUUCCUGAAAGUUAGACCCAAUACUCCACCUCGAAAUUGAUUUCAGGCCUGAGAAAUCAGAAAUCCUUUCCAGAACUCCAUUUCCUGCAAGAUUAUGAGAUUUGAGCUCAAGCACAACAAUUUUGUGGGAUUUCCCCAACUAAUCUAUUUAAAGAAAUAUCAAUAGAAACCAGAGAUUUCAAGCUCAAUAUUUGUACAGGAAUGCUCCCCUCAAAAGAGACAUACCUGUACAAGAAGCACAACAAUCCAUAGUCUUUGACCAUACCUGUCGUAUUUACAAAAAAAUGUCUACAUAUAUUUGUAUGCCACAGAACAGUCACUUCAGGAUUAGAGGUAGAUGUUAUUGAAUUUGCUGAUAAUUUUAUAAAACAUGUCUAUUUUCCAUGUGAAUAGAUGUUAUUGAGUUUGCUGAAAUUUAUUUUUACAUGCCUUAUUCACAUACAUUCCAGCACUUCAAUGUUGCAUUUCAAUGUCUGAUCUUGGCAUGACUAAGUACCAUCAUUAUGUUUACUUUUUAUAAAAUGUGGAUGCAGAUCAAGACCUUUGAACCCAUAAGGAUGUCAUCAGCUUCCACAAACAAUGGAGGAUAUCCACACCGUCUGCGGUGUCGAAUACCAUGUAAUUUAAGUACAUCAAGUUUCCUAUCCAACCCUAGAGGAAUGUACUAUCGGGGUCCAAAUUGUACUUUUUUUCAAUGGUGCGAUGAAUAUAUGAAAGUGAUAAACUACAUUUUGAACUUGAGACAUCCUCAUGUACAACAAAGGAAUCAAUCACAAGUAUCGCAAGUGCAUCUCAUGGACAAGCAAGUGCAUCUCAUGGACAAGCCUAGG
rnacentral:lncRNA from 1 species